rnacentral:rRNA from 1 species
GACGAACGCUGGCGGCGUGCUUAACACAUGCAAGUCGAACGGAAAGGCCCUGCUUUUGUGGGGUGCUCGAGUGGCGAACGGGUGUGUAACACGUGAGUAACCUGCCCUUGACUUUGGGAUAACUUCAGGAAACUGGGGCUAAUACCGGAUAGGAGCUCCUGCUGCAUGGGGGGGGGUGGAAAGUUUCGGCGGUUGGGGAUGGACUCGCGGCUUAUCAGCUUGUUGGUGGGGUAGUGGCUUACCAAGGCUUUGACGGGUAGCCGGCCUGAGAGGGUGACCGGCCACAUUGGGACUGAGAUACGGCCCAGACUCCUACGGGAGGCAGCAGUGGGGAAUAUUGCACAAUGGGCGGAAGCCUGAUGCAGCAACGCCGCGUGCGGGAUGACGGCCUUCGGGUUGUAAACCGCUUUCGCCUGUGACGAAGCGUGAGUGACGGUAAUGGGUAAAGAAGCACCGGCUAACUACGUG